CGCGGCUGUUAUUGAAGUGGAUAACGAGGCAAUGAUAACAUUCGAAUGUGCACACGGAAGUGAACCGAAAUUAACCAGUCACACCGACGUCCUUCAGGCCAUCAACGGACUGAAGGUUGGCAAGUCUCCGGGCCCCAACGGUAUACCGAACAGGGUCCCGAGACAUUUUCCGGGCGUGCGAUAACCCUUCUCACGAAAGUGUUCAACGCGGUCCUCCGUAUACACCACUUCACCUCGCUGACUGCAUCAAGAAAUGUUCCCUGAAGGACCCAGAAUUCAAUGCGUGCGCCUUGAAGAGUGCCAGAGCUGCAAUUCCACACCUCAUUAACGUUUUAGCGGGACAGUGGAACGUGAUUUACAGUCGCCAUGAAUACGUCCCUCUUGCUUCUCGUACUUGCCAGCGCCACGGCUCUCAAAUUACCUAAGUACGUAAAGAAAUGCUCCAUUAAGGACCAGAAUUUCAACACGUGUGCCCUGGAGAGCGCCAAAGAUGCUUUGCCACGUCUCAUUAAAGGUUGGUGUUUCCAAGUUCCAGCAGUGUUCUCACAUUAAUUUCUGAAACUAGUAUCAAAAAUAAAUGCAAGUUUCUUUUAAUUACUUACAUACCUGAAUGCAUGUCUUUAAAAUAAAUUAUCUGAUUUCGGAAUGUAAUUUUGUUUCACUU